GAUUACAGAUUGUCAAGUCAAACAGAUUGGCCGAUCCAAAUUAAAUCGGCCUGGCAACCUAUGCCUUGCCUCACCACAAAUAUCAAAUUUUCGGCAACACUGCAAAGUGCUCAAAUUUUGCGUGACUUAAACGUUAUUGGAAAAAAAGUAAACAAAAAGGCUUGGAGAAAAAAACGGCAGGAAGUUUUUCAGUAAGUUUUGCAAAAGUGAUUCGCAAAACGUUGUUGCGAGGGUGGGAUUCUUUCAGUUUACGAAGGAAAAUUGAAACUGUGCAGCGAUAACCGAGAAGUUGCAGCCUCCAUUUUGUUCAAGACGACUUGUAUAUCGACACCGGUGGCAAUGUAAAACACCGCAAAAAUGCAUUUCCAAUCUACAAGUUGGCACAGCCAGCAGCUGAAUGGGCUCAGGAUACUUUUGGAGAUUGCAUGGAUUCGUCCUCUUCGACUGCACCUCGACGUUGGAUUUAUUUGGAGGGAAUUCAUCCGGCCGGUUAAUGCUGAGAGCGAGGUGUCCUCGAGUACCCGGCAUGAACCAGCCAAACUGGCUACAACGCAACGACCCAAGACAUAACGACCGGGUUACGAACCAUUCUCGUCUGUCAGUCCGAAAUCGAUCGGAUGGAUUCGAGGGAAAAGUGCAAACCUUUUGCGGUACGUCAUUUUCAGCAGAUGGGAGUAAAACGUUCGCUACUGCCAGUGAUUGCCAAUACCGAGGAGGUUUACUACCGGAGACAACUGCAACACACCGGGAACCGUAUUCUCCGUUACCCCUGUUGUCGAGGUCCUCCAAAACCCAAGAUCCACCGGCUAAUCCAUUUGCCGUACGCCAUUAUCAUCCACUGGAGCUGAACCACUCUGCCACGCCGGAGGAUGUGCUCGACAUCUCAUCUCAUUUGGUUACCCCUCGAUGGAACUAUGACUGGAGAAUUUCAGUCCGACCGUAUCGGGCGAUGUUGUGAACGAAGUGACCUCCGGGAACUGAGUCACCAGUGCGACCAGAUUACGCAUCAGUCUCGCCGAGCCAGGAACCGCCCACUCCGACGCUACUAUCGUUGAUAACCAUCGGAACUUGAUUGAAACCCUAGAACCGAUAAUUUUAUGGAAGUUAAUAAAAACUGUAAUCUGCUGUUCAAUCAAACCUUGAAAAAUGUUGAUCACUUAAAUUGAAUCAUUAAAAAUACAACAGAAAUGAGAA